UUGAGCUCAGAUCAGGUAGGACUACCGCCUGAACUUAAGCAUAUCAAUAAGGCGAGGAACAGAAACCAACAGGGAUUCCCCUAGUAGUGGCGAAUGAAGCGGGAAAAGCUCAAGUUUGAAAUCUGGCGGGCGACCUCCAGAGUUGUAAGCUGAAGAGGCAUAGACCGACGAGGUCCAGGCUCAAUUUCCUUGGAACAGGAGGUCAUGGAGGGUGAGAACCCCGUCUGUGGCUUGGGUGCCGUCGUCCUUGUGUCUUGUCCUCGUAGAGUCGGGUUGUUUGGGAAUGCAGCUCAAAAUGGGUGGUAAAUUUCAUCUAAGGCUAAAUAUUUGCGAGAGACCGAUAGCAAACAAGUAGAGUGAUCGAAAGAUGAAAAGUACUUUGAAAAGAGAGUGAAACAGUACGUGAAAUUGUUGAAAGGGAAGCGUUUGGCAUCAGCCCAUGGUGGCCAAAGAUCAACCAGGCUUCUGUCUGGUGCACUUUUUGGGCACUGGGCCAGCAUCGACUUUGCUCGCCGGAGAAAGGCCUUGGGGAUGUGGCUCCCUUUGGGGAGCGUUAUAACCCUCGGCGUCAUGCGGUGUGGUGGGGUCGAGGUCCGCGGUU
rnacentral:rRNA from 1 species